GCCCCGGUGGCGCAAUGGUAGCGCGUUGGACUUCUAAUCCAAAGGCUGCGGGUUCGAGCCCCGCCCGGGGUG
rnacentral:tRNA from 1 species